UGACAAAAGCUAAGGUAUUGCCAACAAU
rnacentral:sRNA from 1 species